AUGGCGCAGUCCCUGCCUCCUCCGCCCUGGAUCCAUGCAGCCCUUGCCUGCUCCACCAUUGGCCGCUGUCCCGUGCAGCACCGCCCUGCCCGACCUCGGCCUGCCCCAUUGCGCCGCCUCCACGAGCUGGCACCCAUCGCUGGAUCCGGUCGCCACGAGCCCCAACGAGGCGCCAGCGGUGGAUCCGGCCGCCACAGCCGAUGCCACCACCGGUCGCUGGCCGUUCACCCCCGAGACCCGAGGGCCUCCUGCAAGCAUGGCGAGGAGAGCACUUCUUGGCCGUUUGCCGGUCCACAUCGUGAGGUUCACCGACCACAUGACUGCAGUGCAGUUGACCCCUUCAUGUGCAGCGAGAUCCCCGCCGCCCUCUCCCGCAAGUGCACGGCCGCCUCCGCCGUAGACAGCGAGAAGAAGCAGCAGAAGCUGUCCGACAUCCAGGCUGACGUGCAGGAGUCUAAAUCGCUGAUGCAGCUCACUUUCGCCAAGUCGUCCGACGAAACAGCGAACUACUUCAUUCCUCCUCUCCGCUAUGAGCAGCACGCGGCCAUCGACGACUCCAUAUGCAGUGCACUUGCAGGCGCCGUCUCUUGCAUCUUCAAAAUUUGUUUGGCAGGCGCCGGUGUUCUGGUUCUAUUACAGCUCAGGACCUUUUUUCUUCAGAUUUUGCCUGUGUGCAGCACUACAGUUUUGAUGUCGUUCGGUGUACCGUUAGUUAGAUAA
rnacentral:rRNA from 1 species